GAUGAAGAACGUAGCGAAAUGCGAUAAGUAAUGUGAAUUGCAGAAUUCAGUGAAUCAUCGAAUCUUUGAACGCAUCUUGCGCUCCUUGGUAUUCUGAGGAGCAUGCCCGUUUGAGUGUCAUUAAAUUCUCAACUACACUGACUUUGAAUUGGUGUGGCUUGGAUUUGGGGGGAAAAUUGUUGUGGGCUUUUUGUAUAGUCUGCUCCCCUGAAAUUGAUUAGCGGUACCUUUGUGGAACUGUCUACAGGUGUGAUAAUUAUCUACAUCUUAGACAUCUGCUGGAAUGCUGCUUUCUAAACCUUACUUGUAUUGACAAUCUUGACCUCAAAUCAGGUAGGACUACCCGCUGAACCUAAGCAUAUCAAUAAGCGGAGGA
rnacentral:misc_RNA from 1 species